rnacentral:lncRNA from 1 species
CUUUGGAAUUUUAUUGUUGCUUGGUGGUUGCUAUAGCAGUUGCCAUGGUAUUUUAAGUGUUUUUUAUGACUUUGCUUUGGUAUCCCAGGUAGUUGCAAGUUGUUUAAUUUAAAGUUGCUUGGUGGUUGCUAGGUUGCUUCAGGUGGGACGCUCAGAGGGAUGGAAUGGGCUCUUUCAAUCCUAAUUAACCCAGGUGCAUUCUAGCUUGUUGUUUUAUAUUGUUGCUUGGUGGUUGCUAAGUCAGUUGCCAUAGUAUUUCAAGUGGUUUCUAUGGCUUUUCCAUGGUUUCUCAUGUGCAUUCUAGUUGGUUAUUUUAUUUUGUUGCUUGGUGGUUCCUUUUGCUGCAAGUGUUGUUUAUGACUUUUCUUUUAUAUCCCAGGUGGUUGCUAGCUGGUUAAUUUGUUGUUGCUUGGUGGUUGCUAGGUGCUUCAGGUCGUUUGUGUGGGGUUGGUAGGUGGAGGCGGAGCUCAGAGGGAUAGAAUGGGCAUUUUUAACCCUAAUUAACCCCCUCAAGCUCCCAGUAGAGUUGGAAUGGAGUUGGACGGUCAGCGUAAACAGUGUACAGUAGCUGGAGCCGUUAAUGACUGACUCAGAGGGUUCAGUUCCUAUAAUUGAAUUUCAGUGUCACACAUGUGACCAGCAGCUCGGCAGUGACAUUCCAACACACACACUGUAUACACACACAAACACAGACACACACACACACACACACACUGUAUACACACACAAACAGUUUGCGUCCUGAACUGUACACUAUAUUUUAGCGACGGUCAGCAAUGUACCGUGCACCGCCAAGACCACAAACCUGCAUCUUUUCCAUCCGUAAAUAAGAUUUUCUUUAACGUAAAAUAACAGAUAAACUCUCUGCUUGUGUUGUAGAUGUUCCUGUCCAUCGCCUUCGCAGCGCUCGGUGUUGCUGGCGCCCUCUACAGCUUCGUAGUGGCGAUGUUAGGACUGGUGAACGGACCCUACUGCAAAGUCCUGCUGAUCUGGACCACACCUUUCAAAGACAGCCCCUGUAAUAAGCCCCGCCCCCUGCGCUCCACAGCACAGAGAAACAGCGGCCUCUGGUGGACAGAUCCUGCUGCUGACUGCAGUUCAGCACCUGGAUACAGGAAUCAGAUCUUUAAUUUCACUAAACACCAAAAAACACCUGAAUUAAUGCUCAAAUAAUAAUAAACUGACUUUAAUUUAGAGUAUUUUAAUCA